rnacentral:rRNA from 1 species
UAGGGAAUCUUCCGCAAUGGGCGAAAGCCUGACGGAGCAACGCCGCGUGAGUGAUGAAGGUCUUCGGAUCGUAAAACUCUGUUAUUAGGGAAGAACAAAUGUGUAAGUAACUAUGCACGUCUUGACGGUACCUAAUCAGAAAGCCACGGCUAACUACGUGCCAGCAGCCGCGGUAAUACGUAGGUGGCAAGCGUUAUCCGGAAUUAUUGGGCGUAAAGCGCGCGUAGGCGGUUUUUUAAGUCUGAUGUGAAAGCCCACGGCUCAACCGUGGAGGGUCAUUGGAAACUGGAAAACUGGAGUGCAGAGGAGGAAAGGGGAAUUCCAUGGGUAGCGGUGAAAUGCGCAGAGUUAUGGAGGAACACCAGUGGCGAGGGCGACUUUCUGGUCUGUAACGGACGCUGAUGUGCGAAAGCGUGGGGAUCAAACAGG